rnacentral:lncRNA from 1 species
UUCAUUUUUAUUGAAAGAAAAGUAAUCCUUGGAGUAGGUUGUGUGUUGUGUUUUAUUAUUUAAUAAUAUUGAGUACAACAAAUAAUUCUAUUCUUAAUUAAUAAACAGGGAGGUGAAGUUUAUCAUUAUUCUGAAGUUAUAACCUGUAGUAAUAGGCAAAAAAUAUAUUUGAACCAUGGAAGGAAGAAAAGAUAAGGAAUCAAAGAAAGUUGGUAAUUGUUUGAGUCGCUGGUUUACGAGGUAUUUGAUGUCGACCGAAUUAUACAUGGUCGAGCCGUGGGAGAAAAUAUUUAUUCAUGUUGUUUUCGCAAUAGUGUUCAGUUUGUUCUGGUACUUCAACUACAAAAUCAUCGUGUACGUCAUAUCCCAGAUACGUGAAUCGUCGUAUGCUCAAGAAAUACCAACUUUAUUGUAAAUGUUAAUUUAUUUAAAAUGUAUUUUCGUUUUUAAUGUUCUACAGAAUUAUUAUGCACAGUAAAAAAUUAAAUACCUAUCAGUUUGUUAUAAAACAAUCGCGGGGCAGGCAUGUUUUCGUUCUCGUGAAAUUGUUUUUUUUUUCUUGGCUAACUUUUUUUCCUUUAGAAAUUAGCAGAACCUCGCGGUUUCACUUGCGUUGUUGCCAUUCCCAUGGGAAUACAGGGAUUAAAUUUAUCUUAUGUUACUCCCUGGUAAUGUAGCUUUCUAUUCUUUGAAAGAAUUUUGAAUAUUGAGUUUAUUUGUUACAUACUUACAAAAAUACAAAUCUUUCCUUUUUAUACUAUUAGUGUUGAUAAGCUAGCAAACUAUGGGAGGAUGGAAUGACUUAAUUACUGUAAAAUCACGAAGAUCUAAUUGAAUAGGGAAUUCAAAUUAUAAAGCUAAAGAAUUUGUUUGUUUGAACGCGCUAAUCUCAGGAACUACUGGUCCGAUUUGAAAAAUUCUUUCAAUGUUAGAUAGCCCAUUUAUCGAGGAAGGCUAUAGGCUAUAUAUUAUCCCCGUAUUUACGGGAAUGAGAACCACGCGGGUGAAACCGUGCGGCGUCAGCUAGUUAAAAAAUAAUUCUGCGUUUGCUAAGAUAAGUAAAAGUGAGACGUUUCUCUAUGUGCAUAAUAAUUCUAUUUCACAUUCUGUGUUAAUGGUGUAUUGAAAUUUAAUAAAAAUAUUUAUAUAUUG